rnacentral:rRNA from 1 species
AGGCUGCAACUCGCCUACAUGAAGUUGGAAUCGCUAGUAAUCGCGAAUCAGAAUGUCGCGGUGAAUACGUUCCCGGGUCUUGUACACACCGCCGUCACACCACGAGAGUUUACAACACCCGAAGUCAGUGGCCUAACCGCAAGGAGGGAGCUGCCUAAGGUGGGGUAGAUGAUUGGGGUGAAGUCGUAACAAGGUACC